GCGCUGCUUCCUCGACGAGGCGACGAUACCAACUGACAUGACGGAGAAAACCAAAACCUGCCCCCGCUUCAGCUCGGCGGCUCGCGCUGCUGCCUGUGUGCGCCUCCUAACGGCUGGUUACGGUGAAGGUGUUCUGUGUCUUGCUCAAGGACAAUUUGACAGUGUUCAUGGACCGCCUGCUCUGCCGCCUCAGAGAUAUUGAAUGAAGGCCAACGAUGAAAAUGUUUCACCGGGAUGGAGAUCUGUUUGUGUCGGCCGCCGUCUUUAGUGAUGACCGGCAGGUUGCAGCAGGUUUGGCUCAAAGUUCUGUAUGACAUUUGAGCUCAGUCCAGAUUCAAACAUAGAAAAAUUCAACGUGACAGGCGACCACAGCUUACACGUGUCAUUAUGUUUGAUUUAAAGCCUGUUUCAGGAGCGGACGUGUUCAGGGAGAUCUGAGGGCGCGGCUCCACUCCAGCGUGUGGAAUUUGAGAGGCUGGAUUACAAAUGUGUGUCAGAGUAAAGGUGAUGUGACAGAAUCUUGUGAGCGUAGGAAGGUGUUUGGGAUCCGUGUUCCCCAACCGGGAUUAGGUCAACUCUUCCCAGGAAUACACAAGAAGUUUCAA